rnacentral:rRNA from 1 species
UAAUCAGAAAGCCACGGCUAACUACGUGCCAGCAGCCGCGGUAAUACGUAGGUGGCAAGCGUUAUCCGGAAUUAUUGGGCGUAAAGCGCGCGUAGGCGGUUUUUUAAGUCUGAUGUGAAAGCCCACGGCUCAACCGUGGAGGGUCAUUGGAAACUGGAAAACUUGAGUGCAGAAGAGGAAAGUGGAAUUCCAUGUGUAGCGGUGAAAUGCGCAGAGAUAUGGAGGAACACCAGUGGCGAAGGCGACUUUCUGGUCUGUAACUGACGCUGAUGUGCGAAAGCGUGGGGAUCAAACAGGAUUAGAUACCCUGGUAGUCCACGCCGUAAACGAUGAGUG